CCUACGGGUGGCUGCAGUGAGGAAUAUUGGUCAAUGGGCGGGAGCCUGAACCAGCCAAGUAGCGUGAAGGAUGACUGUCCUACGGAUUGUAAACUUCUUUUAUCAAGGAAUAAAGUCAGGCACGUGUGCCUGUUUGUAUGUACUUUAUGAAUAAGGAUCGGCUAACUCCGUGCCAGCAGCCGCGGUAAUACGGAGGAUCCGAGCGUUAUCCGGAUUUAUUGGGUUUAAAGGGAGCGGAGAUGGGUUGUUAAGUCAGUUGUGAAAGUCGGCGGCUCAACCGGAAAAUUGCAAUUGAGACUGGCAGCCUUGAGUACAGGUGAGGUAGGCGGAAUUCGUGGUGUAGCGGUGAAAUGCUUAGAUAUCGCGAAGAACUCCGAUUGCGAAGGCAGCAUACCAA
rnacentral:rRNA from 1 species